rnacentral:rRNA from 1 species
GACGAACGCUGGCGGCGUGCUUAACACAUGCAAGUCGAACGGAAAGGCCCUGCUUUUGUUGGGUGCUCGAGUGGCGAACGGGUGAGUAACACGUGAGUAACCUGCCCUUGACUUUGGGAUAACUUCAGGAAACUGGGGCUAAUACCGGAUAGGAGCUCCUGCUGCAUGGUGGGGGUUGGAAAGUUUCGGCGGUUGGGGAUGGACUCGCGGCUUAUCAGCUUGUUGGUGGGGUAGUGGCUUACCAAGGCUUUGACGGGUAGCCGGCCUGAGAGGGUGACCGGCCACAUUGGGACUGAGAGACGGACCAGACGCCUACGGGAGGCAGCAGGGGGGAAUAUUGCACAAUGGGCGGAAGCCUGAUGCAGCAACGCCGCGUGCGGGAUGACGGCCUUCGGGUUGUAAACCGCUUUCGCCUGUGACGAAGCGUGAGUGACGGUAAUGGGUAAAGAAGCACCGGCUAACUACGUG